UCUCUCUCUCUCUCUCUCUCUUAGCGUGUGUGUUUUUCCUGCUCAUUUAACAACUAAGGAUGUUAGGCUGCUAGCAAUGAUUCAUUUCUUUGUUAUAAGUUAAUGAUAUGUCCAAUCUAUACCAAGGGCACAGAAUCAAUCAACUUAAAUCAGUGACAAUACUUGUUGAUGAAUUUUUUUUGCCUAAACUCAUUGAUGAAACUAACUCAAGGUUUCCUUUUAUGAGAAAAGAGUUGCUUAAUUAAAGCAACCAGGACAAUCAUGGCAUUCUAAAAUGGAAAACAAUAAAUUAGGUUUUGGUGAAUACAGUAAUUGUACAUGUAUUAAUUGGCAAAUUUCAAAUUUGGUUGAGACUGCAUUUACUGGAAGCUGAUAGGACUUGACUUCUUGUUUUGUGCUUGUUUGAUUUAAAAUGAUCCUUAAUGGAUUGUGACAUUGUGUUUGGAUUAGGUUAGAUCAAUUCCUCAAAAUUUAUUUUUCUUUGCAGGAGCUGGUGAAGAAAUAUUCUG
rnacentral:misc_RNA from 1 species